rnacentral:rRNA from 1 species
UCUGCCCACUGAAUUUUUAAAUGGCCGCAGUAAUUUGACUGUGCAAAGGUAGCAUAAUCAUUAGUUUUUUAAUUGAAAGCUUGUAUGAAGGGCUGGACGAGAUAAAAUCUGUCUCUGUUUAAUUUAUAUUAGAAUUUAAUUUUUAAGUUAAAAAGCUUAAAUUUUUAUAAUAGACGAGAAGACCCUAUAGAUCUUUAUAGUUUUUUAUAUAAUUUAGAUUAAGAAUUUUUAUUUUUUUUAUAUAGUUUAGUUAUUUUAUUGGGGUAAUAAAUAGAUUUAAUUAAUUCUUUUUUUUUUAUUCACUUAUUUGKGUUUAUAUGAUCCAGUUUUUUUGAUUAUAAGAUUAAGUUACCUUAGGGAUAACAGCGUAAUUUUUUUAAAGAGUUCAUAUCGAUAAAAAAGUUUGCGACCUCGAUGUUGGAUUAAAAAUUAUCUUAGGCGCAGAAGUUUAGGAUUUUGGUCUGUUCGACCAUUAAAUUUUU